rnacentral:rRNA from 1 species
UACGUAGGUGGCAAGCGUUGUCCGGAUUUACUGGGCGUAAAGAGCGCGCAGGCGGUCGUUCAAGUCGCGUGUGAAAGCCCCCGGCUCAACUGGGGAGGGUCACGCGAUACUGAUCGACUCGAAGGCAGGAGAGGGUAGUGGAAUUCCCGGUGUAGCGGUGAAAUGCGCAGAUAUCGGGAGGAACACCAAUUGCGAAGGCAGCUCACUACACGAUCAUUGACGCUGAGGCACGAAAGCGUGGGGAUCAAACAGG